ensembl:lncRNA
GGGGACAGAAGAGAGGUGGUGGGACAGAAGAGAGGUGGUGGGGACAGAAGAGAGGUGGCGGGGACAGAAGAGAGGUGGUGGGAUGGGAGAGAGGUGGCGGGGACAGAAGAGAGGUGGCGGGGAUGGGAGAGAGGUGGCGGGGACAGAAGAGAGGUGGUGGGGACAGAAGAGAGGUGGUGGGAUGGGAGAGAGGUGGCGGGGACAGAAGAGAGAUGGGGGGACGGGAGAGAGGUGGCGGGGACGGGAGAGAGGUGGCGGGGACAGAAGAGAGGUGGUGGGAUGGGAGAGAGGUGGCGGGGACGGGAGAGAGGUGGCGGGGACGGGAGAGAGGUGGUGGGGACCGA